GAGUAGUAAUUAAUAAAAGAAAACCAACUGUCAUGUAAUGAGGCCAAGAAGAAAGGGGUAAACCAGUAACUGGUAAGAAAGACGCAAAUCACGCCACCCAAUUCUUGAGCGAAAAAGACAGUAUUGUUUAAAUCGGGCAUGCCAGCAUUUAGGGCGAGACGAAAUCAAAGAAAAUCCAGCGCACCACCCAGCCGCUCACUCUCUCUCUCUC
rnacentral:lncRNA from 1 species